UACGAAGGGGACUAGCGUUGUUCGGAAUUACUGGGCGUAAAGCGCACGUAGGCGGAUUUGUAAGUCAGGGGUGAAAUCCCGGGGCUCAACCUCGGAACUGCCUUUGAUACUGCAAGUCUCGAGUCCGAUAGAGGUGGGUGGAAUUCCUAGUGUAGAGGUGAAAUUCGUAGAUAUUAGGAAGAACACCGGUGGCGAAGGCGGCCCACUGGAUCGGUACUGACGCUGAGGUGCGAAAGCAUGGGGAGCGAACAGG
rnacentral:rRNA from 1 species